rnacentral:rRNA from 1 species
UACGGGGGGAGCAAGCGUUGUUCGGAUUUACUGGGCGUAAAGGGCGCGUAGGCGGCCAGCACAAGUCAGUUGUGAAAUCUCCGAGCUUAACUCGGAAAGGUCAACUGAUACUGUGCGGCUAGAGUGCGGAAGGGGCAACUGGAAUUCUUGGUGUAGCGGUGAAAUGCGUAGAUAUCUGGAGGAACACCGGUGGCGAAGGCGGCAUCCUGGACCGAGAUUGACGCUGAUGCGCGAAAGCCAGGGGAGCAAACGGG